UGGGGAAUCUUGGACAAUGGGGGCAACCCUGAUCCAGCCAUGCCGCGUGAGUGAUGAAGGCCUUAGGGUCGUAAAGCUCUUUCGCCUGUGAAGAUAAUGACGGUAGCAGGUAAAGAAACCCCGGCUAACUCCGUGCCAGCAGCCGCGGUAAUACGGAGGGGGUUAGCGUUGUUCGGAAUUACUGGGCGUAAAGCGCACGUAGGCGGACCAGAAAGUUGGGGGUGAAAUCCCGGGGGCUCAACCCCGGAACUGCCUCCAAAACUAUUGGUCUAGAGUUCGAGAGAGGUGAGUGGAAUUCCAAGUGUAGAGGUGAAAUUCGUAGAUAUUUGGAGGAACACCAGUGGCGAAGGCGGCUCACUGGCUCGAUACUGACGCUGAGGUGCGAAAGUGUGGGGAGCAAACAGGAUUAGAUACCCUGGUAGUCCACACCGUAAAACGAUGAAGUGCC
rnacentral:rRNA from 1 species